rnacentral:tRNA from 1 species
GGCGCCGUAGCUCAGAUGGUUAGAGCGCCUGUCUCGUAAACAGGAGCUCAUGGGUUCAACUCCCAUCGGUGCCU